rnacentral:lncRNA from 1 species
CACAGCCAGCGUCUCGCCAGCCCUUCAGCCGCGUUUCUCUUCCUCCCUCGACUCUCCACGGCGCCCGUGUUCCCUCCUCCUGCCACCUAGGCCAGCGCCUGCAGGUGGAGGGCCGGUCUUACCCCUGGCUAUCAGACAACUGGGCUCGGGCGGAUGCCCGUCUCCCCUGCUAAAAUCCAGAAGAACUGGAGACAAUGCCCUCCAUGCAGCUGAAACUUGCCGGCUUCCUUAUCAGCCUCUCAGCCCUGGAGCAGCUAGCCAGGGUUGACGCAUCAACGUAGGUCGAUUGGAGUUGGAUUACAAAUGGCACUUCUGGGAGAGGAGGUGGUGGACUCUGUAUCUGAAGGCACACCCUGCAGACAGGGAUGGACCCAGAAGCAAGCAUGCCUGCCACGCACUCAGUCCUCAGGCAGAUACCUCGGUGUGUCCUACCCGCAGAUAAGAAUCCGGCUCAGAGACCUUUCUGAAGGGGCUGCAACACCCCCGGGAAAUUGUCCCAGGAGUGUGACUCGGGAAGACGAGUACAUGAAGCAUCUUCUGCUUUACUGGAAGAGUCAGUGGCAACUAGGGCGUCUCUGACUUUCCUCGGUGUCCUUCAGGAAGCAGAAGAGGACAAGCAGAGAUGGAGGAAGAUGCUGGUCCCGCGGUUCAAGGGGAGGCCAGGCAAAGCCGCCUGUGCUGGCGCUGCCUCUGCAACACAGCGUCUCAUCCAAGCUUCGUUUCUCCCGCGGGAACUGGUGGCAGGGAUGAGGUGGGGACGAGGCGGGGACGAGGUGGCACCACACUUUGUUUUGUUGCCUGAUUCAUUUUCUUUCCAUUUUAACUGUAAUCUCAUCUAAUUAUUGUGUUGUGAUCUCAGUCAGCAAUCUUAAAUGAACUCUCAAGUAACUUUGCAAGGGUCUUGCGAGGAGCAUUGGGUGGGGAUUAGAUGUAAAUUGCAGCAGGUUAUCCGGUGAUGUCUCCAUAGGUGGAAGCAAACCCUUUCCUGUUGUUUUCAAAUUUCAGAUCCCAUUUUUGGUUCUCUUCUGUUUCCUUUGUCCCCUGCCAGGUAUCACCACCACCACGCACCACCACUGCACCCGAAGUAAAACGAACGACGCAGAGAGCCGGAGCCAGAACUUCUCCCAGUGAGGAUGCUUUCUAUUAGGCAGGAGUAGAAGGGCUUUCUCCCCCCCCCAGGUUUUUUUUUAUGAUUGACUCAUAGGUUUAAAAAUCUGUGAAGUCACACCUUGGUCAAGGAGAAUACAAGAAAUCAUUUGCAAGCUUUUUUGAAUUUUAAAUAAGAUUUUUCAAAAUAGUUUACAUUAACACCUUAGAGACAAGAGUUCUAGAAAUAAAGUAAUAAAACUUAAAAAUUAUAUUUGCUCU